UUAGUAUUCUCAUAAAUUUUAAUAAUAAUAAUAAUAAUAAUAAUAAAUUUAAUUUGUAAUGCACUUUAUAUUUGCGCAAAUCCCAAAGUGCUACAUGAUAAAACAGCUAAGUGCUAAAAUAAAAACACAUGGAGAGCAUGAUAA